rnacentral:lncRNA from 1 species
UAAUUUCUAAUGACGGCUGUCGCACACUCUCUCUCAUUCUUAAUCUCUUCUCUAGUUCUCUUUCUUCUUGUUUCAAAUUAAGAAUCCAAAUUCUCAAUGGUAUCGGGCUUCUUAAAUAUGGGGUUUCUCAACUUCAAUUCUCUAUUUUUUCUUGCAAAAGAUUGGAUUAAUCUCACAAAUCUUAACUCUCAAGACAUCAUCCAGGUUAGUUUCAUUUUUUUUUUCAUUUAUUUGUUUAUUACUUGGCGUUUGAUAGAUUGUAUGAUUCUUGAGGUCUGCAAUUUUUGGUAGUUUUAUUUUUAUUGUUCGAUUUUUCUUUGAAGAGCAAUUUGUCUAUUUCAGUUUUUUUUUUCUUUUUCUUUUGUGGGUAAGAAUUUGAAUGCCAUGAGAGAAAACCAGUGCAGAAAGCUAAUUUACUUGAUCAACUAUUAUGUCACAAAACUCAGGAUUCAAUUCCUAUUUUUGGUAUUGUAUAUGUACUUCACUUUUGUUGAUUAUGUACUGGAAAAUUCCUGAAGUACUUUGCACUAAAAUAUAUAAUUUAUUUUGGCUGCUCUUAUCCAUUAGGAAUACUCAAGAACAUAAUCUUUAUACUAGGCCGACAAACGAUGUUAG